rnacentral:rRNA from 1 species
GACGAACGCUGGCGGCGUGCUUAACACAUGCAAGUCGAACGCUGAAGCUCAGCUUUUGUUGGGUGGAUGAGUGGCGAACGGGUGAGUAACACGUGAGUAACCUGCCUCCUUCUUUGGGAUAACGCCCGGAAACGGGUGCUAAUACUGGAUAUUCACUGGUCUUCGCAGGGGGGUGGGGGAAAGGGGUUUUUUGGGGGGGGGAUGGGCUCGCGGCCUAUCGGCUGGUUGGGGGGGUGAUGGCCAACCAAGGCUUUGACGGGUAGCCGGCCUGAGAGGGUGACCGGUCACAUUGGGACUGAGAUACGGCCCAGACUCCUACGGGAGGCAGCAGUGGGGAAUAUUGCACAAUGGGCGCAAGCCUGAUGCAGCGACGCCGCGUGAGGGAUGGAGGCCUUCGGGUUGUGAACCUCUUUCGCUCAUGGUCAAGCCGCAACAAUGGUUGUGGUGAGGGUAGUGGGUAAAGAAGCGCCGGCUAACUACGUG